UCUAGAAGCUCCCAGCGUUACUUCCUG
rnacentral:piRNA from 1 species